GACGAACGCUGGCGGCGUGCUUAACACAUGCAAGUCGAACGGAAAGGCGCUGCAGCUGUGUGGUGCUCGAGUGGCGAACGGGUGAGUAACACGUGAGUAACCUGCCCUUGACUUUUGGAUAACUUCAGGAAACUGGGGCUACUAACGGAUAGGAGCUCCUGCUGCAUGGUGGGGGUUGGAACGUUUCGUCGGUCGGGGAUGGACUCGCGGCUUAUCAGCUUGUUGGUGGGGUAGUGGCUUACCAAGGCUGUGACGGGUAGCCGGCCUGAGAGGGUGACCGGCCACAUUGGGACUGAGAUACGGCCCAGACUCCGACGGGAGGCAGCAGUGGGGAAUAUUGCACAAUGGGCGGAAGCCUGAUGCAGCAACGCCGCGUGCGGGAUGACGGCCUUCGGGUUGUAAACCGCUUUCGCCUGUGACGAAGCGUGAGUGACGGUAAUGGGUAAAGAAGCACCGGCUAACUACGUG
rnacentral:rRNA from 1 species